GAUGAAGAACGCAGCGAAAUGCGAUAAGUAAUGUGAAUUGCAGAAUUCAGUGAAUCAUCGAAUCUUUGAACGCACCUUGCACCCUUUGGCAUUCUGAAGGGUAUGCUCGUUUGAGUGUCAUUGUACUCUCACACUCCCGAUCUUUGCAUUGGGAGCAGUGGACUUGGGUUUGCUGCUUCACCGUCGCUUACCUCAAAUAGGUUAGUGCAACUCUUGGUUGGACAUAGUACGGCGUGAUAAGUGUUCUUCGCCGGUGCCUCGCAAAGAGGGUGGCCGAUCGGGAUGUUGUGCUCCAAACCGUCUUCGGACAAUCUCUGAAGACUUGACCUCAAAUCGAGUAAGACUACCCGCUGAACUUAAGCAUAUCAAUAAGCGGAGGA
rnacentral:misc_RNA from 1 species